rnacentral:rRNA from 1 species
CCGUCAAUUCCUUUGAGUUUCAACCUUGCGGUCGUACUCCCCAGGCGGAGUGCUUAAUGCGUUAGCUGCAGCACUGAUCUCUUAUGAGACCAACACUUAGCACUCAUCGUUUACGGCGUGGACUACCAGGGUAUCUAAUCCUGUUUGCUCCCCACGCUUUCGCGCCUCAGUGUCAGUUACAGGCCAAAAAGCCGCCUUCGCCACUGGUGUUCCUCCUAAUCUCUACGCAUUUCACCGCUACACUAGGAAUUCCACUUUUCUCUCCUGCACUCAAGUUUAACAGUUUCCAAUGACCCUCCACGGUUGAGCCGUGGGCUUUCACAUCAGACUUAUUAAACCACCUGCGCGCGCUUUACGCCCAAUAAUUCCGGACAACGCUUGCCACCUACGUAUUACCGCGGCUGCUGGCACGUAGUUAGCCGUGGCUUUCUGGUUAGGUACCGUCUCUACUGUAUAUAGUUACUAUACAAUCAUUCUUCCCUAACAACAGAGCUUUACGAACCGAAAUCCUUCUUCACUCACGCGGCGUUGCUCCGUCAGGCUUUCGCCCAUUGCGGAAGAUUCCCUACUGCUGCCUCCCGUAGG